rnacentral:ncRNA from 2 species
ACAAGUCUUUGUGGCAGGGUGAAAUUCCCUACCGAUGGUGAUAGUCCAUGACCCGCGUAAUGAGCGGCUGAGCCAGCGAAAUUCUGGCACCGACGGUAAAGUCCGGAUGAGAAAAGACAUUU